rfam:Picea glauca, whole genome shotgun sequence.
UGCUUAGAACAUAGCGUUAAUGCACCAUAUCUCAUUAGAACUCUGCAGUUAAGUGCGCUCAAGCCAGAGUAGUACUGGGAUGGGUGACCACCCCGAAAGUCUUAGUGUUUUACAUGC